ACGAGGGCCCGGACCAGGGAGGAGCCUGCAACUGAGGAGACCUACUUAUGCUCCUUGAGGAGGAUCCUGGGAACUCAAAGGAUGGGGAGCUACACUGGGGUCAGAGGUGGACCAGUGAGACAGCGAUGGUCGAUGGUCGAUGCAGCUCCUGAGUUCAGAGACUUCCCCUGUUACCUCCAGGACCUUGCAGGGGGCCUGGAUCAAAGAAGGUGCUCUCUAUAGUUUUCUUUAACAAACAAAUAAAGAAAUGCUCCAUUGCCUGGUGUUAUUUCAGGAUUGAACGGACCCUGCCCUGUUUGUACAAGCAAGGCGCACACUUACCUAACAACCUGGUGCGGGGAAAGAUAUGGCCCUUCCCGGUCUGAUGCUGUUACUUACCCUGCCUCUUCCCAAUGUCUGUGACCCACCAUUGAGAUGAACUCUUCAUUCCAGCACCUUCAGUUGAAGACACUGAAGCUCAGAGAGGGGAGUGUCUUGUGCAGGGUCAGAGAGCCGGUCUGUAACAGCCAGGAUAAGACUCUGGGCUCAGAUCCCGCUAGCAGGUGCUCCUGUCUGGCACCACCUCUGUUCUGCGCUGGCUGAAGACCACACGCGCUAUUCUGAGCCUCAGUCUUCUGUUUCCUGCAAUUACUUAGCCAGAUGUGAUUCUCAGCUUGGAGACUCCUCCCUCGCCUGUCCCAUCGAGGCAGGAAGUAGGAUGUACGGCCAAGAGAUGGGGCCUCCCGAUUCCUUUGUAAUUUGACCCUGGAGCUCAGUGGGGCAGUGGGGGCUGCUACCGGCUCAUUCUUAUCAUCAAGGCUGUGUUAUCGCUCCUGUGAACCAGGGCAGAUGCACCUGGAGGCACACUGUUCAAAGCCGAAGGCUGAGAGUCGAGUUUCAGGCUAGAGGUGCUCUCAGAGGCGAGAGUGGGUGCCUUGGCUAUUUCGGCGAGAGCUGACAGUAAGGACUGCUUCUCUCGCACAAGCUGUGCAUUUUGUAUUGUGGGCUGUCCUGCCUCCGCUUUCCCUUUCCCAGGCUUGGUGGAUGCUGCUGCUCCCCAACCCCCUCCCUGAUGCUGCUAACGACAUCCAAUUAAUUCAGGAUAAUUUGGUUCAUUAUAAGCCCUUAGACUGGAACAGCGUUUUCUCUGAGUGCAGAGCAGCCUUCCUGGAUUUCCUCAAAGGGACAAGGCUCUGAGUGUAAGAGGGGAGAGAGGGCAGAAUCCUGCUUAUCUGCCCAGUUGGGUACCAAAGAGCUGGUGAGUGCUUGAGACAGGCUGGGCUGUGCUCACUCCAGCAAAACCCAUCUUUCCUGGUGCCCCCACAGUCCUAGUUAAAAAUAUGAUGGCAACGGGGACGGGGCAAGACACCCCAGCAGGAACAUCGGGCCACCCUUGGGGCCUACCAAUAGGCGCCAUCCUUGUGGGGCUAGAGAUGUCAGUUCUGUGCCCAGUGGGCCCAUUUUUUGUUAUUAUUUAUUGAUUUGUUGUUGUUGUUAAUCCUCACCCAAGGAU